rnacentral:rRNA from 1 species
UACGUAGGGGGCAAGCGUUGUCCGGAAUUAUUGGGCGUAAAGAGCGCGUAGGCGGCCAGAUAAGUCCGGUGUGAAAGUCACAGGCUCAACCUGUGAAUGCCGCUGGAAACUGUCUGGCUAGAGUCCGGGAGGGGCGAGUGGAAUUCCUGGUGUAGCGGUGAAAAUGCGCAGAUAUCAGGAGGAACACCAAUGGCGAAGGCAGCUCGCUGGGACGGUACUGACGCUGAGACGCGAAAGCGUGGGGAGCAAACAGG